rnacentral:tRNA from 1 species
GAGGGUAAGGCUCAGUGGUAGAGCACAUGCUUACCAUGCGUGGGGUCCUGGGUUCAAUCCCUAGUACCUCCA